UAAAUAAUAAUUAUAUAUAUAAUUUUCUCGAAUUUAAAAGAGCUAAGAAAUUAUAAAUUUUAUUGUAAAAUAAAUAUUUAAAAUAAUUUUUUAGUAAUGAAACGUUAGUCGUUUUUGAAUUUAUCUAGUUUUUUAAGAAAUAAAUUUAAUUUAGUUAAUUAGUUUAAUUUAAAUAAUUUUUAUAUUUAAUUUAAUAUAAUUAAUUAAUAUUUUAAGGGAUAAGCUUUAAAAUAAAUUAUUAAAAAUUUAAUUAUUAAUAUAAAAAUAAAUAGAAUUGGAAGUUUUUAUUUAAAUUAUAGUGUUAUAACAAAUUUUUAUAAUAAUAAGAUUUAUAUAUAAUUUUAAAUAAUUUAUUAAAAUUAUUAAUUUAAUUAAAAAGUUUAUGUAAUAAUGAUAAAAUUAGUAUAAUUUAAUGUAAUUUUAAUUUAAAGAUUAAGUUUAAAUUAAGGAACUCGGCAAAUUAUCUUCCCGCCUGUUUAUUAAAAACAUGUCUUUUUGAUUAUAAUAUAAAGUCUGACCUGCCCUAUGAAUAUAUUUUAAAUGGCCGCGGUAUUUUGACCGUGCAAAGGUAGCAUAAUAAUUAGUUUUUUAAUUGAGAACUGGUAUGAAUGGUUUGACGAGGGAGAGACUGUCUCAAUUUAAUUUGAAUUAGAAUUUUAUAUUUAAGUUAAAAAGCUUAAAUAAAUUUAAAAGACGAGAAGACCCUAUAGAAUUUAAUAUUUAUAUAAAUAGUCUGUAUGUUUAAGUAUUAUUAGUUUAAUUAUUUAUAUAAAUAUUUAGUUGGGGCAACUAAAAAAUUUAAUAAACUUUUUUUAUAUUAAACCAUUGAUAUAUGAUUAAUUGAUCCAUAUUUUAUGAUUAUAAGAUUAAAUUACCUUAGGGAUAACAGCGUUAUUUUUUUUUAGAGUUCAUAUCGAAAAAAAAGUUUGCGACCUCGAUGUUGGAUUAAAAUUAACUUUUGGUGUAGAAGCUAAAAAUGUUAGGUCUGUUCGACCUUUAAAAUUUU
rnacentral:rRNA from 1 species